UACGUAGGGACCGAGCGUUGUCCGGAUUCAUUGGGCGUAAAGAGCUCGUAGGCGGCUGUUCAAGUCGAACGUGAAAACUCGGGGCUUAACCCCGGGCCUGCAGUGGGUACGGGCAGACUAGAGUGCGGUAGGGGAGACUGGAAUUCCUGGUGUAGCGGUGAAAUGCGCAGAUAUCAGGAGGAACACCGGUGGCGAAGGCGGGUCUCUGGGCCGUAACUGACGCUGAGGAGCGAAAGCAUGGGGAGCGAACAGG
rnacentral:rRNA from 1 species